AUUGAACGCUGGCGGCAUGCCUUACACAUGCAAGUCGAACGGCAGCACGGGAGCAAUCCUGGUGGCGAGUGGCGAACGGGUGAGUAAAGUAUCGGAACGUGCCCAGUCGUGGGGGAUAACGUAGCGAAGGUUACGCUAAUACCGCAUACGAUCUAUGGAUGAAAGCGGGGGAUCGCAAGACCCCGCGCGAUUGGAGGGGCCGAUAUCAGAUUAGGUAGUUGGUGGGGUAAAGGCUCACCAAGCCGACGAUCUGUAGCUGGUCUGAGAGGACGACCAGCCACACUGGGACUGAGACACGGCCCAGACUCCUACGGGAGGCAGCAGUGGGGAAUUUUGGACAAUGGGCGAAAGCCUGAUCCAGCCAUGCCGCGUGCAGGAUGAAGGCCUUCGGGUUGUAAACUGCUUUUGUACGGAACGAAAAGGUUUGGCCUAAUAAGCUGAGCUCAUGACGGUACCGUAAGAAUAAGCACCGGCUAACUACGUGCCAGCCGCCGCAGUAA
rnacentral:rRNA from 1 species